GACGAACGCUAGCUACAGGCUUAACACAUGCAAGUCGAGGGGCAGCAUGAAAGGAACUUCGGUUCUUUUUGAUGGCGACCGGCGCACGGGUGCGUAACGCGUAUCGAACCUGCCUCAUACUCGGGGAUAGCCUUGCGAAAGUAAGAUUAAUACCCGGCGGUCUCGGACGGCCGCAUGACAGUCCGAGUGAAGAUUUAUCGGUAUGAGAUGGCGAUGCGUCCCAUUAGCUAGUUGGUGAGGUAACGGCUCACCAAGGCAACGAUACAUAGGGGGACUGAGAGGUUAACCCCCCACACUGGUACUGAGACACGGACCAG
rnacentral:rRNA from 1 species